GAUGGCCUAGUGGUUAGAGUGUCCGCCUCGGAUACGGGAGGUCGCGAGUUCGAACCGUGGCCGAGUCA